CCUACGGGAGGCAGCAGUGGGGAAUUUUGGACAAUGGGCGAAAGCCUGAUCCAGCAAUGCCGCGUGAGUGAAGAAGGCCUUCGGGUUGUAAAGCUCUUUUGUCAGGGAAGAAACGGUGAGAGCUAAUAUCUCUUGCUAAUGACGGUACCUGAAGAAUAAGCACCGGCUAACUACGUGCCAGCAGCCGCGGUAAUACGUAGGGUGCAAGCGUUAAUCGGAAUUACUGGGCGUAAAGCGUGCGCAGGCGGUUUUGUAAGUCUGUCGUGAAAUCCCCGGGCUCAACCUGGGAAUUGCGAUGGAGACUGCAAGGCUAGAAUCUGGCAGAGGGGGGUAGAAUUCCACGUGUAGCAGUGAAAUGCGUAGAGAUGUGGAGGAACACCGAUGGCGAAGGCAGCCCCCUGGGUCAAGAUUGACGCUCAUGCACGAAAGCGUGGGGAGCAAACAGGAUUAGAUACCCUGGUAGUCCACGCCCUAAACGAUGUCUACUAGUUGUCGGGUUUUAAUUACUUGGUAACGCAGUCUAACGCGUAGAAGUACGACCGCGUCGGAGGUACGGUCGCGAGAAGUAAACGUACGAAGAAAGUAGACGGACGUGAGACGUAGCGACGGACGACGACGAGGGAGGAGG
rnacentral:rRNA from 1 species